GCAGCAAGAGCCAGCCGGAAGAAGACCUGCACACUCGCGAGAGUUCUGUCACUCCCCUAUAGGCCAGAGAACCCUGGGAGACGAGGCCUGCCAAUCACCGGAUGGAGGCGGUCCUAGGCGCCUCCAAUUGGUUAGGCACGGGAAAACUCAGUUCCCAUUGGCGUUUUCUCUGGCCCCAAUUCCACCCCCUCGGCCUGAAUCCCCGCCCCAUUCAGUGGCUCCACCUCUCAGCUGGGAAGGUGGGGAGCCAGAGAGAAAACGCCUAUGCUUGCCUCCAGUUUCUAGUGCAGGGCCUUCUAACCUGUGACCCCAAACUUACCCAGUCCUACGCAGGGAGCUGAUUUUGCCUCUGCUUGGGAGGAUGCAUGCUUCCGUGGACCUUGACAAAUUAAGUUUUAGGAGAAAAGAAGAGGGGAUUGAAAAGGAAGGAACUCCCUGCCUAGCUCAUCAGAACAACAAAAGUCAUCCAUCC
rnacentral:lncRNA from 1 species